AGAUAGAGGCGCGUUCAUCAAUGGUACGCCCCGGAUGCAAAGGUGCAUAUACGCCGAUGCCGGAGCCGAAGGGAUGUAACGCCGAAAUCCGGAGGGAUAUAUGGUUUUCCGGGUUGGGCACGUGCAGGAACAGGCACGCGACUGUCACGCAAGUGGAGAGCUAUCGA
rnacentral:ncRNA from 1 species